rnacentral:rRNA from 1 species
UGUGUAGCGGUGAAAUGCGUAGAGAUGUGGAGGAAUACCGGUGGCGAAGGCGGCCUUCUGGACAAAUACUGACGCUGAGAUGCGAAAGCGUGGGGAGCAAACAGGAUUAGAUACCCUGGUAGUCCACGCUGUAAACGAUGUCGAUUUGGAGUUUGGUGGCAUGACUGCUGGGCUCCGAAGCUAACGCGUUAAAUCGACCGCCUGGGGAGUACGGCCGCAAGGUUAAAACUCAAAUGAAUUGACGGGGGCCCGCACAAGCGGUGGAGCAUGUGGUUUAAUUCGAUGCAACGCGAAGAACCUUACCUGGUCUUGACAUCCACAGAAUUUUGUAGAGAUACGAAAGUGCCUUAGGGAGCUGUGAGACAGGUGCUGCAUGGCUGUCGUCAGCUCGUGUUGUGAAAUGUUGGGUUAAGUCCCGCAACGAGCGCAACCCUUAUCCUUUGUUGCCAUCGGUUAGGCCGGGAACUCAAAGGAGACUGCCGUUGAUAAAGCGGAGGAAGGUGGGGACGACGUCAAGUCAUCAUGGCCCUUACGACCAGGGCUACACACGUGCUACAAUGGCGCAUACAAAGAGAAGCAAACCAGCGAUGGCAAGCGGACCUCAUAAAGUGCGUCUAAGUUCGGAUUGGAGUCUGCAACUCGACUCCAUGAAGUCGGAAUCGCUAGUAAUCGUGAAUCAGAAUGUCACGGUGAAUACGUUCCCGGGCCUUGUACACACC